rnacentral:rRNA from 1 species
UACAGAGGUCUCAAGCGUUGUUCGGAUUCAUUGGGCGUAAAGGGUGUGUAGGUGGCGCGCUAAGUCGGGUGUGAAAUUUCGGAGCUUAACUCCGAAACUGCAUUCGAUACUGGCGUGCUUGAGGACUGGAGAGGAGACUGGAAUUUACGGUGUAGCAGUGAAAUGCGUAGAUAUCGUAAGGAAGACCGGUGGCGAAGGCGGUCUGCUGGGCAGUUUCUGACACUGAUGCGCGACAGCGUGGGGAGCAAACAGG